GUCCGCUGCACUGCCCCCUCCAUCUACCCUGUCCCAGCUGUCCCCUCCUGUGGUUGUCUUUAUUGAGGGGACUAUAUGCUGCUGCCUUUUCACAGUGCCCACGUAGCAGGCGCUUUAUAAAUGUUAGUCACUUAGUUAUUAUUACUUCUAUCAUUAACCCAAGCAGAGCCACCCUGAACAAAGUUCCAGAGUCAAAUUUGUCCUAUUAAAUGUAGGCCAUUUUAUUGUUAUUUUAAACAUAAAACUCAUGUCUGUUGCCAGUUGCAAAGGCAACUAGACUGGAUCCAGAUCCCCAUCGUGGGGUCCUCGUGAAAGGCCUAAGCCUCCUCAUCUCCCCACGACCCCCACCAGCUAGGCUGGGGAGAAGGCUGGGCGGGGUGCCAGGCCCCCCCGAAAUGGUGGCAGGUCCCAGAGCCGGGUCAGGAGGCUGGUGGCAAUGGCGCACUAGAGGCCCCUCCCGUGCGGCUCCUCGGAGAAAGCCCAGAACCGCCAUGGAGAAUCUGCCAAGAAAGACUAGCUGAGACUUGACAUCACAUGAAGAAUUUAUUUAGAAAGGACUUUAAUUUGGUAAGUCACCUCCAUAUCUUAGCUUCU
rnacentral:lncRNA from 1 species